AUACGGAGGGUGCAAGCGUUAAUCGGAAUUACUGGGCGUAAAGCGUACGUAGGCGGUUCGUUAAGUUAGAUGUGAAAGCCGCGUGCUUAACCUGGGAACUGCAUUUAAAACUGGCGAACUAGAGUUGAGUAGAGGGGAGUGGAAUUUCAGGUGUAGCGGUGAAAUGCGUAGAGAUCUGAAGGAACACCAGUGGCGAAGGCGGCUCCCUGGACUCAAACUGACGCUGAGGUACGAAAGCGUGGGUAGCAAACGGGAUUAGAAACCCUAGAGUCC
rnacentral:rRNA from 1 species